rnacentral:rRNA from 1 species
UUGGUGCAUGGUUGUCGUCAGCUCGUGUCGUGAGAUGUUGGGUUAAGUCCCGCAACGAGCGCAACCCUCGCCUCUAGUUGCCAGCAUUCGGUUGGGCACUCUAGAGGGACUGCCGGCGACAAGUCGGAGGAAGGUGGGAUGACGUCAAAUCAUCAUGCCCCUUAUGACCUGGGCUACACACGUGCUACAAUGGGCGGUACAAAGAGCAGCGAGCUCGCGAGAGUAAGCAAAUCUCAAAAAGCCGUCCUCAGUUCGGAUUGGAGUCUGCAACUCGACUCCAUGAAGUUGGAAUCGCUAGUAAUCGCGGAUCAGCAUGCCGCGGUGAAUACGUUCCCGGGCCUU